UUUUUUUUUUUUUUUUUUUAACAUAAGUAAGAGAUUCUAAACCUGAACCAUCCACUUGUAAUUCCUUUCGACUUAUCAUCUAACUUAACCGUCCCACCACCAAGAGGGGCAUCAUUUGGUGACAGCAAAACUGAAAAAGAAUCCCACGGGUCUACCAAACAUUUUUGCGUUUUCGGACAUGAAGACAAGACGCCUUGGAAUAUCUAUUGGCGAAGCAUUAAUCAUAUCUGUUACCAUCGUCGCUUUAAACGUUGAUUGGAAUUAUUUGGGUAAGCAAGAAAGGUAGGUGAUCUUGAAUUUCUAUACGUGUAAACAUAAGAUAAUAUUAGAACAGCCCUUCACCAAAUCAAAGCAAAAAAAAUCAAAAGAUAUGGUGAUAAAAUGCUCGGCUGGGUGGAUGGGUACUUUAGCACGCUCAAAGUUUUGCCACUAUUAAUACAUAUUCCAUAAAGUGGAUCAGACAAGUGGCAAAAUUCGUCGCAAAACGAAGUGGAAAGUCGGAAGACCUUUUAAGCUGUCGAGCUUAGAAUAGUCCACUAGAUGAUUCCGCUUCUUUUAAGUUUUAACCACGAGGGUGGAUGGAUGGAUGUAUAGUACUUUUGCUUUUGCGUCUCCAGCGAUGGACUGAUUAUGAGCCGAAAAGGAUCCUUGAAAACUUUAGUGAAUAACGUCCGACUUUAAAGAAGCGCCUUUAAUGCUGGCUACAGAAGAAUGGAGCUUUAAUUCAUGUAGUAAUAGUACAUAAUUCAGCUGUUACAACUUGUAAAUAAAACCAUAAUGGAACAAACACUUUCUUAAUAAAGUUGAUCCAGACAUUUUCCCAGAAGUUGCUGACUGUCAUACAAUACCCGGAUUUUCAAGAACUCCUGCACCAGAACUAGGCCCAGCCCAGAACUUAAUAACACCACUGACAUCGGCCGCUGAUGGGUUGAGAUCUUCUCCAUUAUUUUUCUCUUUGUUUAUCUAUUCAUUUUUUUAUACUUACAUAACUAAUUUUUUGAGCAAUAAUUUGUUUGUGUCGAUAAUUUUAUUUUCACAAGUAAAUAAACAUAUUUAAAAAUCAAGCUCAUCCAUGAACGUUUUGUCAUUCAUAUCAGCUUCACAAGAAUCACAGCUACAAGUAUGGGCUUUGAAGAGAAAACACUUUUGUCCAAUAAUAAGUAAGGCCCAGUUUAGGUCCUAAAAAGGCUUAAAAGCCAUGGGUGUCGUAGACCAUUAGCAUUUCCCGAGAAUUGCUUGAAACUACGCAUUUUAAUUCGCCUUUGCCAUGCGUGAGGAAUUUGUUUGUCUUAAUAUCGUUGUGGUUUUCACUUAUUCCACGUUUGGAGCCGUCCUUUGUUUUGUUAUUAUCAUGUUUUUAUUUGAAAGAGUAACUUCUUAAUAUUUUAAUAUACAUCCAUUAAGAGAAUAUUUUAAAUUCAAAUGAUACAUAUAUAAAGUCAUUAAUGCCAUCUCAUCUAGACAUAAUGAUUAUCAUAUCUCCAUAAAAAGUUGAAUUCCCAAAAAAGACUCCAAUAUUAGAACGGAAGGAGCAGAUGGAAUAUGCACCGUUUUUUGGUGGAUAAUGGAGUACUAAUAUUUACAAAGAAUAGAGGUUAAUUGGGUCUCCCCAAUUUAACCCGCUAAAUGUCUCCAAACAAAAAAUGAUCUAAUUCAGUCGGUGGUUAACUAUUGUAGAUUCGACAUCUAAAUUUGCUCGGAGAUGUGCGUGCGCGGACACACAUUUUAAAGUCUAAUUUGAAAUCCAUGAGGCUGAGUCUUGCAAUUGGCCACGAAAGUGCAAACAUGAGGAAGCACUUUACACUAGGAAUGGUAAUGAGGCGGGGAAUCCUUCCCGUACCUCUCACUCCGCUAUUCAAACAUUCCCUCUGCCCCCUCGCUUGCUCCCUCGUCCCACCCCGCUUUCCCUUGGGGAUUACUAGAAAUUUGUCCUAUAAAGAAAAUUUAGCCAAAUUCUAGCCAACAAUCAAGUAUUUUAAAUACUAACACAUCACCAAGUCAUUGUGAAUAUAUAAUCCAUCGUAAUUUUACAAUAUUUAAUCCAAAAAAAUAAACAUAUAUAUACUAUUUGAAUAUAAUCCAGCAUAAUGAGACAAAUAUAACUCAAGUAGCAAUAAAUAAAAGUGUAAUUAGUUAUGAAUUGUUAAUUGGGAAUGAGUGAAGAGUUGAAAAAGAAUGAAAUUAGGGUUAGUCGUGAAUUGUGAAAUGUUAAGUGUAAAAGAAUAAAAAUGUAAUUAGAAAUUUAGUAUAAAUGUAUUAGUAUAACUAAUCAGUAAUUUGUAUUAGUAAUAAUAUAUAAUUAUUAGUAUAACAAAUAAAUUAAUUAUAUUACAUAUACAAAAUCUGAUAUUUAUAACUAACAAUAUAGUUAUGAUAACUAAUAAUAUUGAAUAUUAUAUAUAUAUAUAUAUAUAUAUAUAUAUAUAUAUAUAUAUGUAUUUUAGAUGGGUGACCAAACGGGUGUGUAAUCCCUCGUCCCCUGUCCAACAGAGGGAGAAAAUUAGCCCUUGCCUUAUAAUACCUGGCGAGAGCAUGCGCUACAAUUCCCAACCCUAUUUCACACUUGCUAUCCAAUAGAUUUAUACUCACCUCUGAAUUUAUACUUCACACUUGCUAUUCAAAUAUCUUUUUGGAGUCAGAUUUUUUACAUUAACACCACAUAUAGCAACGUAUUUGAAUGCAUGUUACCCGCGUAAAAGUUAUAAUUCAAAUUCAAAUAGGUAUUGAUUAUUAUGCAUUCAGACCCCCUAUUUAUAUCAUGUUAGUAUAUAAAAAAUUAUUUUCAUCUUUGCAGUGCAAAAAUAUAAGACAUAUACUUGAUAAUCCAAAGUUGAAAGCUGCCUCUUAUUUUGAUUGUCGUACAGGUUACAUUUUUUAUUAAAUGACUGCAAUGCCCUCGAACUCUUUAGUAAUGGUUCAGUUGACACCAGACGGCAUAGCCUAGCAAGAAAUCUCGUAAUCUUAUCCUCUAUUUUUCCCAACGUCCAAAAUCGCCGCUAAAUCUGACUCUUUGCCACUAAAACAAACUGAAACAAAAGAUAAAAAAAGAGAAAAGAGUACUAGAAAGAGUAAAAAUGGCAAGAGUGCUGCUCUCAAAUGCAAAUAAUCUCCUCCCAUGCUUCCAAUCACCAUCUUCCUCAACACCGUUAACAUCACUUCACCUUCACAAACAAAUCGUUAGGACUCAUCCCACCUCAUGCAAGUCAGCACUAUUGAAUCAAGAUUCUUCUUCUUCUUGUUCUGUUCUGACCACCAAGAGGAGCCUUUCCAUUAGCCUCACAACAGGGUUCCUCUUCUUUCUCUCUGGGAAAGGUUGUUCUGAUGCCAAUGCAGCUAUAUUAGAACCGGAUGAUGAUGAGGAGCUGUUGGAAAAGGUGAAGAAGGAUAGAAAGAAGAGGCUUGAGAGACAGGGUGUCCUCAAUUCAGCUGCUCAAGAGACAGGUCAACAAUCCUUCCCAAUAUUUCCUUGGAAUGUAGCCUCUAGAAAGUAUUUGCUACUUUGACUUUCAUGUCCUUUAGUUCUUUGACCUUGCUUCUUGAUUUUUUUUUCUUUUGGUUUUUGGAUAAAGUUUCGAUUAUUCUUUUCUUUCCGUAAAGUUUUGAUUUUCUUUUCUAUAUCAGUUGAAUUGACACUGCAAGGUAAAGGGAUUAAAAGACUUUAGUCUUUAAGGCUAUGGUAAAGUUGGUUGGAGAUCGUUUCUGUUUUUCUAACACAGAUAAAUUGAGUUAACAAAUUAGUUUUCUCAUAGAUCAACAAACAGUUGAAAUAUUCGUUUUUGCUGGUAAUUAGGCUGCUUUUGGAUGCCGCAUGAAGUCGAUUCCUCUUCGAAUUUAAGAGGCUUCUAUUGAAUCCUAGUCAUUCUUAUUGAAACAUUUCAUGUCAUCGCAAAACUCAAAAUUGGGGUAGGAAUGUGGAGAGACUUGAUUAUGGUUACUUUCAUAGGUGGUGAAUUACAGUUUAGCCUGCAUUUGCUACUACCUCUUGGCAGUUGGCAAUCUGCAAGAAUCUCUUCAGCAAGUAUAGUUGUGAGAAGAAGGGUAAUUACAAGCUUCUGCAGAAUCCUGACUUUUGUAACCUAAAUUUAUGCUGUCGAACAUAGCAUAAUUUACACUGCAAAUUUCUCCAAGAUUUUACUGCAAUAAAACCAACUUUGGAGGUACGAGGAUCCAAUUACCUUAAGUAAUUUGCUGGGCAGUAAAAAAGGAUAAUUUUUGUCCUAAAGGUUAGCUAUGAUCAUCUAUUGCAAAUAUUAUAUGCUUCCUGUUGGUUUCUCUGUGACAUUUUAUGGAUUGCAGAUUAGAAUGACUAGGAAAGUUCAGUAUGGAACAUUGGAGAAGAAUAAUUUGGGCUUACUAAAUCAAGCUUCAAGAAAAUUUUAAGUUACCAAAUGCUGUUUGCCUGCCCUAAGAUAACAUAAAAGCUAAAACAAUUGCGUGUAAUUAAGAGGGAGCGGGGGAACCUAUUUGCCUUCCUAGAUUGCUUUUGGUUGGAAUUCACCUGUAUAUGGAAAUAAUUGGUUUGCACUGACAGAUAAACAUGAUAGAGAAAAGGUCAAGCCUGGCGACAGAGAUCCCUUAGUUAUUUAAUGUACCAGAUCUAUUUUGUUAAUGACUUAUACAAUAGUAGUGAUCUAGAAUCAACUUAUAUGAAUUACUGUCCCUUAUACGGAAAAUCUAGUUAGUUGAAGCCGUUUGGCACAAGUGCUUUCACUCAUGAUGUAAGCGCAAAUACUCAGAAACUUUUACCCCAGCUGAACUGGUUUCUCACUGACUGGCAUGUAUCACCAGUGAACAUGAGAAAGCUUGGCUGUGUUUAACUAUGCAUUCUAAGAUCUAAUGGAUACUUAUCAAUAACAACCGUGCCACUCUUGGUUAUGUUACUAUCUUCAUGGAGUUGAAAAUUAUGAUCAAAGAUUACCGUUUGUGGGUUUACUUGUCCCUCAUGAAAGCAGGCACAUAAAUUUCAUUCAAGGGAUAGUGCUGCAUGCCAGUAAUAUUAUUAGCCAAGAUCUGAAUAGCUUUCAUAGUUGCUACAUCAGUCAACUGGAUUCUAUUAUUUGAUGUAAAUUUCCUUUUGCCCAUGCCCCUUGUAUUUUGUUUUAGCACAUAAUUGUGCUCCUAAUAUGCUUAUCUUCAUUCUUAGCUUGAAUUAAGUCCUUGGCGUGAAGUAAACUGAUGCCCUUAAAGCAUGACCUGAAUGUCGCAUUACGCUCUGAGCUUUUGGUCUCUGUCAUUUCUGGGAAUUGAUUAGCUAUUCUUUUUUAAUGCUGCAGGAUACUUGCAAGAGCUCGUUUACAAGCUCAGCAGAGUAGGCCAGGCAAUAGAGAAGAAUGAUCUUUCAACGGCUAGGUCAGUUCUUGGUCAAAGCAGUGAUACUGAUUGGGUACAAAAAGUUAAGUCAGCUUUCAAGAAGGUAUCCUAUAGAUAAUAAUACUGUACAUGCCUUACUGUGUAGAUCUUGUCUAUAUGCAUUUCCAUGCGUUAAUUGCCUAUCUUCCUGCAGUUGAGCUCUAGCCCUGAGGAGAAAUCCGAAGUAGAGACUUUUAGCUCCGCACUUGAUUCUUUAAUUUCAUCAGGUAUGUUCUGUGUGUUUGCAAGCGUGUUCAUCUUGGUUCCCAGCAAAGGGUUGUGACUUAUGCAUGAAAACUAGUUUGCAUUGUGCAUGCAAUUAAUAUUGAGUGGUGAAAUAGUUUCAUUUGUUGCUCUGAGAGAGCAAUUGAUCUGUAAUUUGCAGUGACUAAGAAUGAUAUUGAAGCAUCUAAAACAGCAUUUGUGGCAUCAGCAUCUGCUUUUGAAAAAUGGACAACCUUAACAGGGUUGGUUGAAAAGCUUAAGGGGCUUUGAAGAAAAUCAAUCUGGCCAGAGAGUUCCAGCAAUACCCCCAGAAUGCUUCACUAGCUUGCUUCUGGCUCUAACUCUAGCUGGUUGACUGCUGUCAUUAAUGAUCGCAAAAUUCUUUUAAUUCCAUGAGCUGUAUUAACUUCUCCAGCUUUAUGGUUAAGUGUUAAUGACAUUGAAAAUUUAGAUGUAAUUAUUCUUUGAAACCACCUCGACCACGCAAUUAAUUGAAUCAUUUCACAUAUUUGCGAUUCAAUGACCUUGGUUCUAUUGAAGUUGUUUCCUUUUUCUUUUGCGGUUGACUAAUUGGUGUUCGCCUCAACCUUGAACGGAAAUUUGGAAUAAAUGGCGCAUGUUGACAGUCACUGCCUUUCUCUUUUGCAUGAUUAACUAAGGGAUGAACCACUUCUUUACGAAAGAUCGCGUAUUUAAAUUUUACGAUGCAAUGUAAGUUUUAUGUUGGUGGACCAUCCGUAAGAAUUCCUAUAUGCGGUGCGUCCUAAUCCAUGGUGACUACUAGGGUGGAACCAUCCAAAUUUUUUGUAUAUUAAAAAAAAAAGUCUUAUCAAGUAGUAAUACCCCAAAAAAGUGGGGGACCAAUUCUUUUUGGGCACUCAGUCGCUAUGCAUCUCAUGGCCUUUUAACUAGCUCAACACUUUCUGCAACGUUUAGACACCCAUCUCCCAUUGGUAUCAAAACUUUAACUGAAACAGCGAUGCUGACUGCCUGAAGAAGCUUGUCAAAGAGGAGCCAGCUCAUCUUAAUCACCUCAAAAAACUGCUGCAAAACAACUAACCUACUGAUAUCCGUAAGCUUGCGAGCCAAGGAAACUCGAGUAACUGAAGAUGACUUAUUAUAUCAUUACAUAGACACAGUUCUGAUCGACAUGUUACAGAGAUCUAUGCAACCUACAAUUCCUUCAAUGCAAGGAAGGUUGGAAUGUUGAAGGCCUACUCUAUAAUGUAAGGUAGUAAUGUUACAAAGAUCUCAGUCACUACACGUUCAACGAAAGACAGCAGCGACAUUAACCUGCUAAUCUAUGAUUUUACAUACUACAGAUGUCUCAUGAACAAUCGGAGUAUCUAUUACUCAACAACAACACUACUGUCAUUCAAAAGAAGCCACCAGCCUAUGAAGGUCAGAACAAGAUAUUACAU
rnacentral:lncRNA from 1 species